rnacentral:rRNA from 1 species
AUUGAACGCUGGCGGCAGGCCUAACACAUGCAAGUCGAACGGUAACAGGAAGAAGCUUGCUUCUUUGCUGACGAGUGGCGGACGGGUGAGUAAUGUCUGGGAAACUGCCUGAUGGAGGGGGAUAACUACUGGAAACGGUAGCUACUACCGCAUAACGUCGCAAGACCAAAGAGGGGGACCUUCGGGCCUCUUGCCAUCGGGUGUGCCCCGCUGGGAUUAGCUAGUAGGUGGGGUAACGACACACCUAGGCGACGAUCCCUAGCUGGUCUGAGAGGAUGAGCAGCCACACUGGAACUGAGACACGGUCCAGACUCCUACGGGAGGCAGCAGUGGGGAAUAUUGGACAAUGGGCGCAAGCCUGAUGCAGCCAUGCCGCGUGUAUGAAGAAGGCCUUCGGGUUGUAAAGUACUUUCAGCGGGGAGGAAGGGAGUAAAGUUAAUACCUUGGCUGAUUGACGUUAACCGCAGAAGAAGCACCGGCUAACUCCGUG